rnacentral:rRNA from 1 species
CCUACGGGAGGCAGCAGUAGGGAAUGUUGCGCAAUGGGCGAAAGCCUGACGCAGCAACGCCGCGUGAAGGAGACGAACUUCGGGGUGGAAAGGGCUGUCAGAGGGGACGAAAGAGGACGGUACCCACAGAGGAAUCACCGGCUAACUCCGUUCCAGCAGCCGCGGUACUACGGAGGGUGCAAGCGUUGUCCGGAAUGAUUGGGCGUAAAGCGUUCGUAGGCGGUAUGUUAAGUCUGGUGUUAAAUGCAGAAGCUCAACGUCUGGUCGGCACUGGAUACUGGCAAACUAGAAUGCGGUAGAGGUAACGGGAAUUCCUGGUGUAGCGGUGAAAUGCUUAGAUAUCAGGCGGAACAUCGGUGGCGUAGGCGCUUUACUGGGCCGUAAUUGACGCUGAGGCACGAAAGCCUGGGUAGCAAAUAGGAUUAGAUACCCGAGUAGUC